rnacentral:rRNA from 1 species
AACGAACGCUGGCGGCAUGCCUAACACAUGCAAGUCGAACGAGACCUUCGGGUCUAGUGGCGCACGGGUGCGUAACGCGUGGGAACCUGCCCUUAGGUUCGGAAUAACUCCCCGAAAGGGGUGCUAAUACCGGAUAAUGUCUUCGGACCAAAGAUUUAUCGCCUUAGGAUGGGCCCGCGUUGGAUUAGCUAGUUGGUAGGGUAAAAGCCUACCAAGGCGACGAUCCAUAGCUGGUCUGAGAGGAUGAUCAGCCACACUGGGACUGAGACACGGCCCAGACUCCUACGGGAGGCAGCAGUGGGGAAUAUUGGACAAUGGGCGAAAGCCUGAUCCAGCAAUGCCGCGUGAGUGAUGAAGGCCUUAGGGUUGUAAAGCUCUUUUACCCGGGAUGAUAAUGACAGUACCGGGAGAAUAAGCUCCGGCUAACUCCGUG